GUUUGUCGGAAUCCAUCACCUCAACAGAUCAGACUGAAUUACUUCAAUGACUGGCAAAUGGGUGGCACUCAUGGUGAAGUGAAAGCAGCCAGAUGUACUGUCUGUAGGACAGGGGUAGACUGAAUACCUGCUUCACUGAAUACCUGCUUCACAUCACCUUUCACAUUUUCUUAUUGGAAAGACAGCCGUUGGAGAAUCAUCUUGUUACCAUCAGCAAAAAUGCAAACAAAUCAAGACAUUAAGAAUGCCACAGUGGCCAGCAGUUAAUGAUGCCAGUGUUACACAAGCUUCGGCAAAGUUUUCAAGACAGUGUGCCUCACUAGCCAUAAAUCAGGAAAGAUUGAACUUAUCCUUUUUUGUCUCAGCUGUUCCUUAAAUCAUUGCAACCCCUCCAAAUUAAUGUGAAUUGAAACAUGCAUUGUCUUUUCAGCUUAAUUGAGUACUUACUAUGUGUGAAUCACUGCACAAAAUAGGGGAGGGAAAAUGAGGGAGACAAUUAGGAUGUGUUUCCUGCCUUCAAUGGAUUUACAAUUAGUUUCAGGGCACUUUUUUUCUUCUGCUCUUAAUUAAGUGUGUCCCUAAGAUAGAAAACAAAUGAAUGGAAAAGUGUAUUCUGCAAGUAUUUUAAUCCCUUUAAUAAAACACAAAACAAAACAAAACAAAACAAAAUAAUCUAAUGUGGGCAACUCAGGACAUCUUCCAUUUUUUUGGAGUUUCAAUAGGUAGGAUUUAUUUCAUUGAUUUUAUAAAUAUCCAGUAGAUGUUAGAGAUAUUAACACAUUAUAGUUGGAGUUAAUUGAAUUAAAUUCUUUUUUUUCCCCUUUAGGUGUAGAUUGUCUGUUGGAAAAGUAUAUUGUGUUUGUACAUUUCUUGCAGAGUAGGUAGAUGAAUUACAUCUGUUGUCUCUGUAGGCCUCUACCUUCUGUGCCCUAGGGGCCUGACAUUCUGAGUAAGUUAUUAGCGUGGGGAAGGGAAGAUUUGGAUCAAACUUGGGAAAGCUCAUGGACCCAAGAUAGGGCAGGGAAGGAGCAAAACAGACCUAGGCAGUCACUCUGUAGGAAAACUUGGCUGUUUUAGUAUUCAUUGUGUUGUCUUCUAUGUUCCAAAAUUACUGUACAGUUUUUUCAAAAAUUUAUUUCUGAUCUGGGAAUAAGUCAUGAUUUUUCCAAUGUUAAGGCACUAAUAUGACUGCAGACACCAGACAUUUUAUGUAGUGUAUGUAACACAUUUUAGUAUGUACGAACCAACAAUAGACAUGUCUUUGUCUUCAGUAGUGUCCAUCUGAAUUGAAAAUGUGCCAGCUUUUUUUUUCUUAAAAUCAUUAU